rnacentral:rRNA from 1 species
GACGAACGCUGGCGGCGUGCCUAACACAUGCAAGUUGAGCGACGAACCAGGGCUUGCCCUGGGUCAAAGCAGCGAACGGGUGAGUAACACGUGGGUAACCUACCCCGAUAACCGGGACAACCCGAGGAAACUCGGGCUAAUACCGGAUGUGCCCACUGGACUUCGGUUCAGUGCGUAAAGGAAGCUUCGGCCUCCGUAUCGGGAGGGGCCCGCGGCGCAUUAGUUUGUUGGUGGGGUAAAGGCCCACCAAGACCACGAUGGGUAGCUGGUCUGAGAGGAGGAUCAGCCACACUGGGACUGAGACACGGCCCAGACUCCUACGGGAGGCAGCAGUGGGGAAUCUUGCGCAAUGCGCGAAAGCGUGACGCAGCAACGCCGCGUGGGUGAAGAAGGCCUUCGGGUUGUAAACCCCUUUCAGGAGGGACGAAGGUUCGGCGGUGAAUAGCCGUCCGGACUGACGGUACCUCCAGAAGAAGCCCCGGCUAACUACGUG